CCCGCUGGCUGCCAGCACCGGUUUCCCUCCGGCACCCGGGACCCAGGCUGGCUCCCUCCCCAACCCGGCUCCGGCUUCAUCAGGAACAACAUCUGGAAUGACGUCUGGAAGACAUCUGGUCUAAUUACCAUAUUACCCUUUUAUUAUUAUAGAGUGGAUGGAUCCCAGCAAUAUAACAUUAAUUGAAAAAAGCCUGUUACUUCAGAACUCAUUCAUCGCACAUGUGAAAGAAGUGCCACUCUACACUGACUAAGCAUAUGAUUUCAGGGCAAGCUCUGUUUCAUAAUAUCUUUUGCAAGAAAUAAAAAAACAACAAGUAACCUUUCACACGGCAGCUCUUAGCAAUGCCUACUGUCCCGUGAGGGGAGCUUUGUGGACCACAUACACAGACGGCGAAUUUACCGGGAGCCCAUCUGGCUGAAAUGCUUGUGCAGCAGAAACGCUCAUCUCCACUGGGAGGGGCCCGUCUGGGCCGAAGCACCAUUACUUCACUUUGCCUUGAGCUGCAACAUUCCAAAAUGAGCUUCAAGGAGAUUGGGCCGUGAUUGGACUGUGUGCAGCAUGGUCCUGGGAAGCACUGGCCGGGUCCUGGCUGGCACGC